AUUACAGUAUAGUUAAUCAACUAGAGUUAUUUGAUAGGUUACCAAGUUAGUUAGAGUUUACAAUGUUAGUUAGGGAGUUAGUUACUCCAUAUAGUCCUAUAAAUAAGCUACUUCAUUGUACAAUUUAUCCAUCUUUUAUCAAUCUAUAUUCAUUCAAUAUGAAUUUCUAUGAGUAUCUUCCUCAUGAAUACUCUUAUGCACUCUAUCUUGCCGACAUCUAUGAUCUUUAUCCCUUCGAUUCCAUGAUUCAUAACAUGGUAUCAGAGC
rnacentral:lncRNA from 1 species